UACGAAGGGGGCUAGCGUUGCUCGGAAUCACUGGGCGUAAAGCGCACGUAGGCGGGUCGUUAAGUCGGGGGUGAAAUCCUGGAGCUCAACUCCAGAACUGCCUUCGAUACUGAGGAUCUUGAGUACGGGAGAGGUGAGUGGAACUGCGAGUGUAGAGGUGAAAUUCGUAGAUAUUCGCAAGAACACCAGUGGCGAAGGCGGCUCACUGGCCCCGAUACUGACGCUGAGGCACGAAAGCGUGGGGAGCAAACAG
rnacentral:rRNA from 1 species